GAGUGCGAAGGCUAGGAUGGCAAAAUGAAGGCUACGUGAAAGAAGUCAAAGAGUUGCGCUGUAGAUGGCUGACUAAAUACUAGUGACGGCUUUGAACUGGGAAAAUCAGCUAUUAAGCUUGAAAAACCUGUGUUAGUGCGCCCAAUUCAACCAAAAAGGGGUACAGAAAUGAAGAAGUAUAAGAAUAAACAAUGCCAUGGACUAGUUUGCCAAUGUUGAAUACAGUGGUGUUGACAUCCGGUAUUUACUAGCUACAAGUGGCCGAGGAGACCGAAUCCAUCCCAAAGAAGCAAUUACUAACCAGGAUCAUGAGCACCGGAUUCAUUCAAGAGUGACGGAGCGAGACAUACUGAAAGAUGCAGUCUUAGAGGAUUUGCGUUGUGAGGAGCCCGUGGAAACAGUAAUUCCGCUCUCACCCGCAUCCCACUGUAUUUCUGACGGUCAAUGCUUAUGCAGGG